GACGUAGGGUCACACGUUGUCCGGAUUUAUUGGGCGUAAAGAGCUCGUAGGUGGUUCGCUAAGUCGGAUGUGAAAACUCGGGGCUCAACCCCGAGACGCCAUCCGAUACUGGCGUGACUUGAGUCUGGUAGGGGAGAUCGGAAUUCCCGGUGUAGCGGUGAAAUGCGUAGAGAUCGGGAGGAACACCAGUGGCGAAGGCGGCUACCUGGACCAGCACUGACACUGAGGCACGAAAGCGUGGGGGAGCAAACAGG
rnacentral:rRNA from 1 species